AUGGAACACUUUCCUUUCUUCAUCUGAAACAAUCAAAAACCUAUAUUUGUCCUUCUUUAGCUCAAUCUUCAGCUCAUUCAAGAACUCACUACCUUCAAAUCUUGUUAGAAAAACUAAGAUCCAUCUCGAAGUUAAAGAUGAAAUGGAGACCAAGUUCAUAUUUUGGAGCCAAUGGCGUCACUGCCUUCAAAUCUUGGUAAAAAAAAAAAGAUCCAUCAAGUAGUUAAAGAUGAUUGUAACACCUCAAUGUAUUCCUAAAUCCUAACACCUAAAGGGGUUGUUGGUGUUUCUGGUUUUGUGCCUAAUUUAUUCUUCACCAGAAGCACCAAUUUGCAAUUAAUAUUCAAACUUUACAAGAAAUUGAACUUGUUUCUAUGUUGGUUACGACAAGUCACAGUCCUUCAGCUUCAGCUUCAUCUUCCUCAUGCUCUUAUGGUGGAAAUAUGGGAGAAAAAUCUGAUCUUGGAUUUGGGGAUUUGGAUAAUUUGUUGCCUGAACUUGCCGGCUCCGACCAGACCCUUUUCCGGUGUAUCUCCGGCGAUAUGGAGGACCCAUCAAUCAGCUUAAAACAAUUACUACAAGGAGGAAAUGAAAAUGCUGAUUUGAGUUGUGGAGUUUCUGUUCAAAGCUCUGGUUUUGAGGUCUCAGCUGCAGGUUCUUUAGCUCAUACAGAUAAUGUCUCUUUUUCUAAUUCAAAUCUCCUUCUAAAUGCUAACAUUGAGAAAAUUGGAUCUGUCAUAAACUCAGACAACAAGCAAAAUGUUAACUUUGAACACCUCAAUGUCAAUCUUUUGGCAAGAAAUUUACCUCCUGCUUUGAGUUUUCAAGAACAACAAUCAGAACAGAAUUCUGCUUAUGUUAAUAUGUUAGGCUCAUUAUCUUAUGAUGUAACUCAAGAACAGCCCCCGCCCAAGCGCCACAAUUCCGGUACGCUUGGUUCAAGCUUAAGCGCACUAUUGCCUGAGGUUCCAUUUUUUGACUCCAGUGGUGAGUUAUUGCUGAGGAAACAACCAUUGGGACAAACGCGGCAGCAAGUCAAUUUUCUGCCUUUUCACCAGUUUCAGCAAAAACCAUUAAUUGUACCUAAGCUUGAGGCAGCUGUUGGUGGUGCUAAUGGUAAUUUGAUGGUUCCUUGUCAUCAACAGCAGGAACAACAGUUUAUUUAUGACCAGAUUUUUCAGGCCUCUGAAUUAUUACUGGCCGGACAAUUCUCAAACGCGCAAAUGAUAUUGGCGCGGCUCAAUCAACAGCUCUCUCCCCUUGGCAAACCCUUCAAGAGGUCUGCUUUUUACUUCAAAGAGGCUCUGCUAUUGCCUUUCCUUUUGCCUUGUACAUCCACAUCUUUUCCACCAAGAAUUCCCACGCCAUUUGAUUGUGUGCUUAAGAUGGAUGCUUAUAAGGCCUUUUCUGAAAUAUCUCCACUUAUUCAGUUCAUGAAUUUCACCUCCAAUCAACCUAUUCUUGAAGCUCUUGGGGAUGCCAAGCAAAUUCACAUAAUAGAUUUUGACAUUGGCUGUGGUGCUCAAUGGUCCUCAUUUAUGCAAGAACUCCGGAGCAGCAAUAGAAAGGCAACUUCUCUAAAGAUUACUGCCUUUGUAUCUCCUUCAACCCACCACUCCGUUGAGAUUGGCAUCAUGCACGAAAGUUUAACGCUGUUUGCUAAUGAUGUGGGAAUCAGAUUUGAGCUGGAAGUUAUUAACUUGGAUUCCUUUGACCCUAAGACUUAUCCCUUAUCCUCCUUGAGGUCAUCUGAGUGUGAGGCUAUUGCUAUUAAUUUCCCCAUCUGGUCUAUUUCAAGUUGUCUAUUUGCAUUUCCUUCACUUCUUCACUGUAUGAAGCAGCUUUCACCAAAAGUUGUUGUAUCAUUGGAACGUGGAUGUGAACGUACUGAACUCCCCUUAAAGCAUCACCUCCUCCACGCCCUCCAAUAUUAUGAGAUACUCUUAGCCAGUAUUGAUGCUGCUAAUUUAACUCCAGAAAUUGGGAAAAAAAUUGAGAGGUCUCUUCUCCAGCCUAGCAUUGAGAACAUGGUCUUGGGGCGCCUCCGAUCCCCUGAUCGAAUGCCCCCGUGGAGAAACCUAUUUGCUUCUGCAGGAUUUUCACCUAUUGAAUUUAGUAAUAUGGCUGAAAUUCAGGCUGAAUGUGUUGUUAAGAGAACUCAGGUAGGAGGAUUUCACGUUGAGAAGCGCCAGAUGUCGCUUGUGCUAUGCUGGAAACAGCAGGAGCUCUUGUCAAUUUUGGCUUGGAGGUGCUGAGGAGCUUUAUCUAAUGAAAGCCAGAAGACUCUUUCCAUUUAACAGCAACAUUUCCUAGAGGUAUAUUGAGGUCGGAUAAGAACCAGAUUAGAGCUAUGCACCGGACAGAUCUUUUCUACAGGUCUAUACUCUUAUAAGAAUUUACACUUUGAAACAAUAUUCUAAACUUCAGUUUUUUUCGCUUCCAAAAGAUCGUCUUUAUUUUGCUUCCAGGUAGAGUAAGGAAUCUAGUUUGACUGAACUCCAGUAGUCCUUCUAUUAUCUGUAACUUGUAGUAUGUUCAUAUGAUUUAUGAAAUUUAGAAAUCUUGUAGUUUUAUUAUCAUGGAUAUAGAGGAUUAUAAAUUAUUCAGCCGAGUUGGCUUUGAGGCAUAGUAAGUUGGCGAAAUACUCCUAUGCUUACUGCAUUGCUCAGGAAAAUAGGCAUGUCUACGCGUUGCAAUAAUAAACAAAGUAGCCACAGAAAUCUCACUAGCUGUUGUCGCUAUGUUGCUUAUGUUGCUUUUGGUGUAAGUCACUGUCAACCUAUGUUGCUCGGACUUUGCAAAAAAUGUUACCGGGUGCGCGUUGGAUCCUCCAAAAGUAGUGCAUUUUUGGAGGAUCCGAUACGGGUGCGACAACAUUUUUGGAGAGUCCGCGCAACAUAGCUGUCAACACACAUAGUAUUUGUGUGCUGCUAAUGGAGGAAUGAAAUAAUUCUUCUUCAGUCAAUGCAUUUUGGACUGGGGAAGAAUUCUUACUAGUUUGGUGGUUGUCAAAGUAUAGCUGAUAUUGGUUUAUUACUUUCACUGUAUUAAUGUAUAUGCAAUUUUUGCCAGUUAUGAAGCUGUAGUAAAUUCUCUAAGGAGAGCCAUUUCAUAUUUUGAUUAAACAGCUUUUGACUACUGAUUAGCUCUUGUCCUGACAUAAUCUAACAUCCUUCCCACCCAAAGAACAAUUGGGCCAUGUUAUGGUCUUGACUUUUUUGUUUCAGUCCUCUCUAGACAUGUGUGUUCAUGUUU